CUCGAGAAUUGGCACGACAUAUACUAAAAUUGGAAUGACAUAGAGAAGGCAAACACAGUCCCUGUACAAGGAUGACAUGCAAAUUUGUGAAGCAUCCUAUAUUAAA
rnacentral:snRNA from 1 species